rnacentral:rRNA from 1 species
GAUGAACGCUAGCGGGAGGCCUAACACAUGCAAGCCGAGCGGUAUUGUUUCUUCGGAAAUGAGAGAGCGGCGUACGGGUGCGUAACACGUGUGCAACCUGCCUUUAUCGGGGGGAUAGCCUUUCGAAAGGAAGAUUAAUACUCCAUAAUAUAUUGAACGGCAUCGUUUAAUAUUGAAAGCUCCGGCGGAUAGAGAUGGGCACGCGCAAGAUUAGCUAGUUGGUGAGGUAACGGCUCACCAAGGCGAUGAUCUUUAGGGGGCCUGAGAGGGUGAUCCCCCACACUGGUACUGAGACGCGGACCAGACUCCUACGGGAGGCAGCAGUGAGGAAUAUUGGUCAAUGGGUGCAGGCCUGAACCAGCCAUCCCGCGUGAAGGACGACUGCCCUAUGGGUUGUAAACUUCUUUUGUAUAGGGAUAAACCUACCAUCGUGAGGGUAGCUGAAGGUACUAUACGAAUAAGCACCGGCUAACUCCGUGACAGCCGCCGCAGUAAAAC